UUGAGAUAUCUACAAAUAUAGUAAUGUGAUAGGAAAAUGUUUGUGAUUUUGAUAAGUGAAAAAGUCACCAAAAUACUUGUAAUAACACUGUGGUUUUUUGCAUAUGUUCACAAUGGAAAGAAAUCCUAAAUCUUACUUCGAAGUUAGCAAGAAUUACAAUAUUUUUCCCACCCCAAUUCAUGGCCCUCUACUUUAUGGUCUUAUUUCAUAGGCUUUCUGACAUGUUUUGCUUCAAAGAGGUCCUAUUCCCCAUCCCAUUUCCUAUCUUCUGGUUUGGGAUUACACUCAAGAUGUGAUAUACAGAUAGAUUAGUUUAUUAGAAAGAAAAUAUUUUUCCACAUGGCGAACUUUAGUGGAGGCUAACAAAUCAGAAUGUGCUAAAAUAGCCAUGUGUACAUAUAGACAAUGGGAAGCUUGGAACUGCUUUAGCAUUUUAUACAAAAGACUUAAAAGUAAUUUCAGCUGGGCACUGUGGCUCGGGCCUGUAAUCCCAGCACUUUGGGAGGCUAAAGUGAGAGGAUUGCUUGAGGCCAGGAGUUCAAGACCAGCCUGGGCAACAUAGUGAGACCCUCCCCCCAUCUGUACAAAAAAAUUACAAAAUUAACCAGGCAUUGUGGCUCGCACCUGUGGUACCAGCUACUUGGAAGGCUGAGACAGGAGGAUGGCUUGAGCCUGGGAGGUUGAGGCUUUAAUGAGCCAUGAUCAUGCCACUGCACUCCAGCUUGGGCAACAGAGUGAGACCCUGUUUCCAAAAACAACAAAAACUGGUUUCAAAUAUAUUGCUACAUUGGAAUUCUCCAUAAAGGAAUUAAUUGUUGAUAACAAUGCCCUCAGUAUACUAUUUGUCAAUACCUAUAACAAUGCAACAAACAAAAAAGAAAAUUUAAAUAGCUGGACCACAUUAAAAGUUUUAUUGGGCUAAAAUCAAAAACAUCUGACAAGUUUUUGACUUGUCUUUCUCAUGAUUUAAUGUCCCAGCAGAGCAACUGGGAACCUAAUUCUGACCAAAAAGGAGGAAUUGUUUGGCUAAUUGGAAGUGACAGAAACCUUGGGAGAAAGCAACCGCAUACCAAGGAUAAUUAUAAGAAGAAGAGAAGACAUGGAGAAGAGGAGGGAGUAGUUGUGACCGUGGAGGCAGAGAAUGGAGUAAUGUGAUCAUAAAUCAAGGAAUGCUGACAGCCACUAAAGCUGGAGAAGGCCAAGGACAGAUAUUCAAUCCUCCCGUAGAAGUACAGCCCUGCUAAUGCAUUGAUUUUGGACUUCUGGCCUCAGAACUGUAAGAGAAUAAAUUUCUAUUGUUUUAAGCCUUCAGUUUGUGGUAGUUUGUUACAGAAACCCUGUAAAGUUAAUACACAGAGUUCAAAGAGAAUCCGGUAAUAUCUCUAAAAGACUCGUGUAUUAGUCAGGAUUCUCCAGAGAAGCAAAGCCAAUAGAAUGAUACAUGUUGUUAAAGCAAAUUAAAAUGGAGACCAUGCCUGAAGAAUCUCUGUGCAGAGAAACCCAGUUAGGCCUCAUAAGUUAACCUUACUUGAUUUGCAAACAUAAUCUAAAAGUUAACUGGAGCUAUUUCCGGUAAAUGAAUAUAACACAACUUAAGCUCAAUCAGUCAGAAGCAGCUUUAUAAUUAUGUAGCUAGGG
rnacentral:lncRNA from 1 species